rnacentral:rRNA from 1 species
GACGAACGCUGGCGGCGUGCUUAACACAUGCAAGUCGAACGGAAAGGCCCUGCUUUUGUGGGGUGCUCGAGUGGCGAACGGGUGGGUAACACGUGAGUAACCUGCCCUUGACUUUGUGAUAACUUCAGGAAACUGGGGCUAAUACCGGAUAGGAGCUCCUGCUGCAUGGUGGGGGUUGGAAAGUUUCGGCGGUUGGGGAUGGACUCGCGGCUUAUCAGCUUGUUGGUGGGGUAGUGGCUUACCAAGGCUUUGACGGGUAGCCGGCCUGAGAGGGUGACCGGCGACAUUGGGACUGAGAUAGGGCCCAGACGCGUACGGGAGGCAGCAGGGGGGAAUAUUGCACAAUGGGCGGAAGCCUGAUGCAGCAACGCCGCGUGCGGGAUGACGGCCUUCGGGUUGUAAACCGCUUUCGCCUGUGACGAAGCGUGAGUGACGGUAAUGGGUAAAGAAGCACCGGCUAACUACGUG